rnacentral:lncRNA from 1 species
AUAAAGAUGCUAAAUCCGAAGAGCAAACAAGGCCAUCCCGAGUUCCAGCAAGAGGUGAAUUUCCUUUCCUUUUAAUCCAUGCAACAGAACACUUCUGAAAAAUUCUCAUUCUAAGCAGAUAAAAAAAAUAUAUGUAAGUCAACAGCAAUCUUAUCAGUAUUAUGUAAUACGUGUUUCCGAUUACCCAACAGAACCGAUCACUAACCAAUAGUUUCUAUGGUCUCUCCAGGUUCAUGUGCUAGGCAUGAUCAAGAACCCAUAUAUAAUUAAACUAAUGGGAGUGUGCUCAAAGUCAUGUUCUCUUGUCUACGAAUACCUCCCCAGUG